UUUUCCCUUUUACUUAAUAUUUUGUUCACCUGUUUUGAAUACACUUGAUAAUGCUACCUUCAGUUUACCAUCCUUUUCAUAUUUUUGCAUCUAUAUAAUGCGGAACCUGGUAGACCCUAUGCUAACUGCAAAUUGAGAGGCAGAAUGGAAAACAUGGUUCUGUUGGCGUUUGUAUGUGUAUUAGAUGCAUUGUUAAACUUUACAUUACAUAACUGUAUAUAUGCUAUUCUUAGAACUGGGUUGCUCUGUUAAGAGCACAGCGUGGCUGUGUUGUAGCUGAGAUCUAAAGAAUUAUGUGAUGAGUCCUGUUCAUUUGAAAUGCCUGUGGGCGUGUGUUUUGUGAACAGCAGCCUACUAAGUCACAUGGGAAAUGACUUUUGACACCGGAGGGCAUUCAGAAUCAGUUUGUAACAUCAUGGGUGACCAGUGUUCAGAGAGAAAAAAGAAUCAAUGCAUUUUACUGAGGCUUCCAAAGUUCUUGAGCCUAAAUCAAGGUUUUUGAAUCACAUCACAACUUGGGAUUUCAUUUUUGAUUGAUUGAUUCCCUUUGUUCCACCUCCCCUCCUUCCCUGGGUAUAGUACAACGUGAUUGUGAGAGCACAUCAAAGAAAUAAAUUUUGCUUGUCGUGUAUGUAUUAUAAAUUAUUGCACAUAGGCCAUGUAUUGUUUGCAGUUCUCUUUUCAUUCGUAUGUAACUGAAACAAUAAGAGAUCCAUUCUUUUGGUUCACAGCAAUUUUAUCUGGAGGGAUAUGAAUUUCUUGAAGGGUUUGCAUCCAUUUUCUCUGCUUUGAGUCCCCUUUGGGAAGAUAAAGUGGGGUAUCAAUAAUAAUAAUAAUACAUUUCCUGUUUUCAUCCUUGUGUCCUGGGAAGUUCUACUUGGGUGCAGAUACUGGAGUCGAUGCCAAGGAAACAGGAAUUUGAAUAGUGUGAACAUUGCCGAGCAAUAAAUGUGUUCAGAUGUGAACAAGCUCUUAGUGCUAUUUGAACAUAUAUGGUUAACUGUGUACUGUGACUUCAAAAAAUCUUAUGGACUGAAAAGCAUGAAGUUUACCAGGUGACCAAUAUAUCCUAGGAGAAAGCUGAAAAUGGUUAAAUAAAAAUAAAAUAUUGCAGCAUCACAGACAUUCCAGGAAUUCACAGAAGUGUGAUCUUAUGAUUUCUAUGAUGCUCUGAGCCCCUCUCUACACUGCCGGAUUAUCUGAAUCACAUCACAACUUGUUUUAAACUAGAUUAUAUGCCAGUGUAGACUCAUAUAUCCAGUUCAAAGCAGAUAAUGUGGAUUAUCUGCUUUGAUAAUCUGUAUUAUAUGAUAGUGUAGAAGUGGCCUGUGAGUGGUUAUUGGUUGUUAUUUUAAUUGGGAAGAAUUAAAAUUUCAUGUUCCUCUUGUCCUACACUUGAAUCCACAGCAAUGCAUACAGUUCCAAAGUGCUGCAUAAACUUGAACGCAUGUACUUAUCAUUAGUGCUUGCCAAUUAAACUGAUAAAGAGUAGCUUUAGCUCCUCUGUGAUGCCUGGUAUUAUUAGGUCGAUAAUAUGCCAAUUUUGAUAUUCAGUUCUGUACAAUUGUACAAUGACAAAACAGUGCAUUGUAAGAAACUUCUUUUACGGUAAUUUUUAACAAAGAGAUCCACUUUACCCAAAAGUCUUCUGAGGGCUACCAAGUUUUAUCUACCACUGAUGAAAAAUAAGUGCAUUUUUCUGCUGAUGUCCUUGUAAUUGGCCCUGACACAGAUACAUGAGCAACAUAGUCAUGGAUACUCAAGACAGCUAAUCCCAACCACUGCUUCCGAUUAUAUACUGCAGGUGGGAACCCAGGUUACUGGCUGUAUGAAAAGAGAAGGUUACCAGGAAUUAUUAGCAUCCUUGCCAAAUGGAAUAAGGGAAUUUCAUUAUCAACUUGAGAAGGAACAUUGACUUAUAGGUCGAGCAAAGGAACAAAAUGAAUAGAAACAGGAUGUAGAACUUGGGUGAUCAAAAAGGAAGCAGCAACAGCCUACCCCAGCUCUUAAUACCUCUGGAUCCAAAUUGUGUUCUUCCGAAGUUUCUUGGAUGAGAUCAUUCAGGUCUAUUGCAAAGUUGAUUUCCAACAUUCUGCAUUUACAGCAUUGACUAUGGAGAGCCCUAAUGAGAAUCUUGUUACUCCAUGUCUUCAUCUUUCUUAUAGAGCCGAGAUUCUUCAUUGGAUUAGAAUUUCUUGGCAGAACAGCUCAGUUUAUGGGACCACUAUUAUCACCAUCAGUAUUUCAACAAGAAGAAUAUGAGUGCUUUCUAAAAGUCAAAAAGGCCGAGCAGUUUUCUGAAGAUGUUCACCUCACUCUGCACCAAACUGAUUAAAAAUUAUAAACCUAAAUGUCCAAACAACUGAUUGCCCUAGUCUAUAAAAUCCUAACGGAAGAUAGGGUGUCAAGUACGGUGUAUUUGUCCCACAAUUUCAUAUUUGUAAACCAUAUAAUCAAUUAAAAGAAAAAAGAAAUUUUGAAAAUCCCCAAAGUAACAGUCUCUUGCCUUCCACAACAUAUGGAAUGAUCAUUGAACCUAUAGAUAUGUAGGAUUUCGUGUUACUUCCCUUGUAGUUUGGAGAGGGAAUCUUCUGUUUAUUUUAGAUCUGCAAGUACUGCCCAUGGAAACUAUGACUCAGAAGCAAGUGAGUCCACAAACAGAAGAUAACCACAAAGAAAAGAAUCUAUGUUCAUUCUGACUUGGAUUGUAUUUGAUGUGAAAUAAGUGACUGGAGUAAUGUUCUUCUACACACAGUUGGAUUUCGGAAGAACGUUGGGUUGUGGGGCAGUUUAAGUAGAUUAAAAGUAGUUCUUACAAGUUCCAAAACUGGUAAGCCGCUCCAAAACUUGUAAGCUGCUCUGAGUCCCCCUUGGGGUGAGAAGAGCAGGGUAGAAAUAAAGCAAAUAAAGCAAAUAAAUUCUUCUACAAAGGUGUUACUUAUCAAGGAAACUUAGAUUGAUCCCUUUCCUGUUGUCUUUAUGUUGGUAUUCAGGCUUUCAGUUGAUUAAUGCUGUACUUAUUUUUGUGUUUUCUAUACUGGUUUUAAAUCAGUUGUGUUUUAAUACUGAACCUUUUGUGUUUUUAUUGGCAUCUGGUUUUUAAUCUUGUAUGUCCCCAUUUUAGGGAUAUAAAUGAAGUAAUAAAGUGGUCAUUGAUCAUGGGCCAACAAAUUAAUGGGCUUGACUGAGAGUGGCACCUGCAAAAUAUAAAGAAGCCAGUAGAUUGUGCAUUUUCAUACCUUAUAGAUGCUAACUUUGAUCACUGAAACAUUGACUGUUGUUCCUAAUUUUGGUUCCCAUCAGUACAACACAGCUGAAGCAUUCAGACUGAAAAAACCCAACAGUUUCAAGUACUGCCAUUUGUUUUCUUCCGAAAUUCAAAAAUUUAAAAUACAUAUAGUUAUAAUAUUUUUCAUUAUUUCAAAAUACAUUUUCCUUUGGUGCCAUAACCCAUCACCCAAAUUUGGAUGGAUCAGCACUUGAUUUAAGUCUGUUAAGGUGUCAGACACCAGUUAGGUACAAAUCAUGGAAUGAUUGUGAAACGGCUUAGACUAUGUCUCUUGGACUGCGUAAUUUUAAUUGAUUGUUAGGUUUUUAAUGUUUUUGUUUAACAUUAAUUUGGUAAAAUUUUAAUAUGUUGGAUAUGUGUUUGUAGUACUGAACAAGUGCUUGUGUAAGCCGCCUUGAGUCCCCUUCGGGGUUGAGAAAUGCUUGCUACAAAUGUGAUAAAAUAAAUAAAUAAAUAAAUGUUGAUGAACAAUUUCUGAAAGUAUUUCAGCCAGGAUCGUAUCAGUUCCAUACAUUCAAGCUGCCUGGUGAUUUUUUAAACAAUAACUUUAUGUAGUUGUAUAAUCAUUUGUUUUGUUAUUCUCUUUUGUGGAUUUAUUUUUAAAUGUGUACAAAAUCAAGAUGAAUGAUUACUGCUAUCUAAAUAUACCCAAAUGUGGGCAGAUGUAGUGGGUUGAUACUUUCUCCAAAAUGCCCAGAUCUACAUUUAUCGCUUGAACAAAGCAAGGAAAGAAUAAUAUAAAGAGAUAAUUUUUCCCAAAGAAAAUUGUUUCUCUUUCCCAAAAGCAAGGUUUUAGAAUGGCUAAAUUUCAGGUUUUGCUUUUGCCUUGUUUUGCUUUUUUACGAACUCAGAAAAAUAAAAUGAGAAGGGCUGCAUUUUUGUUGUUUGUGCAGAAUGCUGCAAGCAGCUAAAACAGUUCAUGCUCGAGUUUGCUGCAAUUGUGGAAAUAUUAAAGGAUCAUACUAUAUACAAGUUGUAUUUAUGAUUAACUUAAAUUAAUAAAAUUAAUGUUGUAAUCUA